rnacentral:piRNA from 2 species
UCGCAUUGAGAGACCUUUCUCUGCUGGGG